UACGAAGGGGGCAAGCGUUGUUCGGAAUUACUGGGCGUAAAGGGCGCGUAGGCGGCUUAUCAAGUCAGGCGUGAAAUUCCCGGGCUCAACCUGGGGGCUGCGCUUGAUACUGAUUGGCUUGAAUGCGGGAGAGGAUAGUGGAAUUCCCAGUGUAGAGGUGAAAUUCGUAGAUAUUGGGAAGAACACCGGUGGCGAAGGCGACACCCUGGACCAGCACUGACACUGAGGCACGAAAGCGUGGGGAGCAAACAGG
rnacentral:rRNA from 1 species